UACGAAGGGGGCUAGCGUUGUUCGGAAUUACUGGGCGUAAAGCGCACGUAGGCGGAUAUUUAAGUCAGGGGUGAAAUCCCGGGGCUCAACCCCGGAACUGCCUUUGAUACUGGGUAUCUCGAGUCCGAGAGAGGCGAGUGGAAUUCCGAGUGUAGAGGUGAAAAUUCGUAGAUAUUCGGAGGAACACCAGUGGCGAAGGCGGCUCACUGGCUCGGUACUGACGCUGAGGUGCGAAAGCGUGGGGGAGCAAACAGGG
rnacentral:rRNA from 1 species